rnacentral:rRNA from 1 species
UACAGAGGAGCCAAGCGUUGUCCGGAUUGACUGGGCGUAAAGCGCACGCAGGCGGCACCGCGCGUGGGGUGUGAAAUCUGGCCGCUUAACGGCCAGGCGCCAUCCCAUACGGCGGAGCUGGAGUGAUGCAGAGGUCGAUGGAAUGCCGGUGUAGUGGUGAAAUGCGUAGAGAUCGGCAGGAACACCCAGGGGGAAACCAGUCGACUGGGCAU